rnacentral:rRNA from 1 species
UACGAGGGGAGCUAGCGUUAUUCGGAAUUACUGGGCGUAAAGCGCACGUAGGCGGCUUUGUAAGUAAGAGGUGAAAGCCUGGAGCUCAACUCCAGAACUGCCUUUUAGACUGCAUCGCUUGAAUCCAGGAGAGGUGAGUGGAAUUCCGAGUGUAGAGGUGAAAUUCGUAGAUAUUCGGAAGAACACCAGUGGCGAAGGCGGCUCACUGGACUGGUAUUGACGCUGAGGUGGCGAAA